GGCGUGGCCUCUAACCAGCGGCUGCAGGAGAUGCUGCAGACAAUGUGCAGUGCUCGGGGGGUCACGCUCUGCCCCAGGGAUGAGAGGUACUGCAUCGACAAUGGGGCCAUGAUCGCUCAGGCAGGCUGGGAGAUGCUGAGGGUGGGCCAGGUGACCGAGCUCGACCAAUCAGGGAUCACUCAGAGGUGAGGGCGGGGCCAAGCGACCCCUACCCACAGCUAUGGGGCUGGGACCCACAUAUAGGGGGUGGGACCCACAUAUAUGUGACUGGAACACACACAUAUGGGGCAGGAGGCCCAUAGAUGGGGGGGAGAGCCAUAUCUAUGGGGCUGGGACCCACAUAUAGGGCCUGGGACCCAAAUCUAAGGGGGUGGGACCCACAUAUAUGUGACUGGAGCGCACAUAUAUGGGG